rnacentral:rRNA from 1 species
GACGAACGCUGGCGGCGUGCUUAACACAUGCAAGUCGAACGGAAAGGCCCCUUCGGGGGUACUCGAGUGGCGAACGGGUGAGUAACACGUGAGUAACCUGCCCUUGACUUCGGGAUAACUUCAGGAAACUGGGGCUAAUACCGGAUAGGAAUCCUUGCUGCAUGGUGGGGGUUGGAAAGCUUCGGCGGUUUUGGAUGGACUCGCGGGUUAUCAGCUUGUUGGUGGGGUAGUGGCUUACCAAGGCUUUGACGGGUAGCCGGCCUGAGAGGGCGACCGGCCACAUUGGGACUGAGAUACGGCCCAGACUCCUACGGGAGGCAGCAGUGGGGAAUCUUGCACAAUGGGCGGCAGCCUGAUGCAGCAACGCCGCGUGCGGGAUGACGGCCUUCGGGUUGUAAACCGCUUUCAGCAGGGGCGAAGCUUGUGGUGACGGUACCUGCAGAAGAAGCACCGGCUAACUACGUG